CCCAGGGACCGGAACAGGGACUUGACAUGACUGAAACAUGGACUUGACAUGACUGAAACAUGGACUUGACAUGACUGAAACAUGGACUGGACUGAAACAUGGACUGGACUGAAACAUGGACUGGACUGAAACAUGGACUGGACUGGAACAGGCGUGGAACCCAGGUAGAGAACUGCAGGAGCAGGCGUGAGACCCAGGCAGAGAACUGCAGGAGCAGGCGUGGGACCCAGCAGAGGCUGCAGCAGCACAAGACCUGCAGGCAUAAGCCCCACAGCGUGGACCAGGAAGUGGACGAACGGCAGGAGCGAUGCGAGGGAACCCAGCUCGGCGGCAGGUGCUCGACAACCGAUCAGAGCAGGUACACGGCACGAUUAGCUGGGUCUCAGGCAGAGGCUUGGGUGCAGGGAAGCAGGAGAAGAGCGGGGAGACCAACCCUACCACCCCGGAGAAUGAUUGCGUGCGUAGGGGGUGUAACUCCUUCAGAGCUCCAGGAUCCGCGGCUUCCAUGACACAAACGGGACGGGGGCAGGUGAGGAGAAGGGCUCGACCACCGCAGGAAAUGAACUGGAUGCGUCGAAACCCACCCAGAGGCUUGACCACCCCGGAGAACAGGUAGGAUGCGUCAACACCCUGGGCCAGAAUCUCCUUCUGCUAAAGGACAAAAAAGAAAAAAUAAUUCCUCCAGGGAGAUUUAGAAGUGCUCACCACAGGUCCCGGUUUGGUCAGUUCAUUCUGUCACGGUGUAGGAGGUGGAGAUGAUGGACCAUGUGUGGUUGAGCUGAGCAGGAGGAAAAAUGCAGGCUUCGGUAAAAGUAAAAAUGGUUUAAUGGCAGGAUGGGAUGAACAGGACACCGACAAACAACAACAACAAUGAACUGACAAAGGACAGGGGCAAAACAGGUGGUUUAAAUACAGAGGGCUAAUUAGGGAAACAUGGGCAGGUAAACGAGGGACAGGUGAGAACAAUAAGGGCAAUCACGGCAGGAGAGGAACACAGUCAGGUUGGGCAGGGGCAGAUCGUGACACUAUGAACUGAUAAAGGUAAAAACAUUCUAAAUAAUAAUACUGUACUCUUGUUUUCUGGUUUUUUCGUACGUCCCAGCCUGGCAGGUCAUCAAUGAAGAGAAGUAUCUUCCCAGACUCACACCAACAUCCAAUUUUACCUCAGGGCCUCCUGAUCUAACAGAAAAACCUGUAGCUCCGUCCUUGCUCUGCUUUCCACAUGUUUCUCAUCUCUGGAAGCUACCUCCCACAACGCUGUGAUGUUAUAUUUUUUUUUUUCAGGCUAAAUGAACCCAAGUAAUCUGCUGUCAGACUGUGUAGUAAAGCUUAUUGCUACACGUGUGUUGCUGCUGCAAGCUUGGAGCUAGAUUACAUCAUGACAUCAUGAAGGAGACUACUGAUUCUGGCCCUGUGACACUUGGUGACGUGUGAGCUGAUUCACCUGGGCACUCAGCAAAAUAUGGACGCAACACCAUGAGGCAGGCACACGUUAAUACUGUAUAAGAGCACAUAAGCAUGAGGAUGUCCUCACACACCUGUAACCUAUCAGCUCAUCUGGCAGAAUAGAGAGAGAAGAGACAACACCACAUCUCCUGUUCCUGGAAAGCCUUCAGCCAUCCUUCGAUGACUGAGAACCUCCACCAGCUCUGUCUCCUGUCUGCCUACAAUUAUUAAAAUAAAUAUUGUGUUUGACAAGUUUUUUUGUGCUGCCAAAUGUCUCAUUUUGAUUCCAGUUUUUAUAUUUUAAUGGAUAUUUAUAAAUUACAGUAAUUGAAUUAUCACAUUGUUGCAUUUUUAACU